CUUUCUCUCACUUGUGAUACUCUUCUCUCUGCAGCUUCUCUGGCGUUUUCUAGGGUUUUCUCCCUGAGAGUUUCUCUGUGCUCCGGCUUGAGAUCUUCUUCCUCCAUCUUCAUCCUAUGUGUGUACAUGCUAUGUGGACUACGCACUUAAGGGUGAUCAACUUGUGCUUUUAGGCCCAUAUCCUAGCACAACACUUGUGUUUCUGAAGGAAGAUGAAGUCCUUCUGUAACGCCCCACUUUUCGAACCAUAAAAUUUUUGCAUUAAAUGCUUUUAAUGUCGUGAAGUAUGUGGAUUACAUGAUGAGUGAAAUUAUUAAAUGAUUUUCUAUGGUGACCUAAUUUUGGUUGGAAUAAGAAUUUGGAUUGACUGAGUCAAUUCCGUUGGAUA